AUUCAACUGACGAGUCCCAAAUACGACGAAACGCGCGUCCUCCAU
rnacentral:hammerhead_ribozyme from 1 species